rnacentral:rRNA from 1 species
AAAACAAGCUUUUAAGAGCAGAUGGCGGAUGCCUUGCCAAAGAGAGGCGAUGAAGGACGUACUAGACUGCGAUAAGCUAUGCGGAGCUGUCAAGGAGCUUUGAUGCGUAGAUGUCCGAAUGGGGCAACCCAACUAAUAGAGAUAUUAGUUACUCUAACAGAGAGCGAACCUAGUGAAGUGAAACAUCUCAGUAACUAGAGGAAAAGAAAUCAACGAGAUUCCCUAAGUAGUGGCGAGCGAACGGGGAAAAGGGCAAACCGAGUGCUUGCAUUCGGGGUUGAGGACUGCAACAUCCAAGAGAACGCUUUAGCAGAGUUACCUGGAAAGGUAAGCCAUAGAAAGUGAUAGCCUUGUAUGCGACAAGGCGUUUUUAGGUAGCAGUAUCCAGAGUAGGCCAGGACACGAGAAAUCCAGGUUGAAGCCGGGGAGACCACUCUCCAACCCUAAAUACUACUCUUUGAGCGAUAGCGAACAAGUACCGUGAGGGAAAGGUGAAAAGAACCGCAGUGAGCGGAGUGAAAUAGAACCUGAAACCAUCUGCUUACAAUCAUUCAGAGCCCUAUGAUUUAUCAGGGUGAUGGACUGCCUUUUGCAUAAUGAUCCUGCGAGUUGUGGUAUCUGGCAAGGUUAAGCGAAUGCGAAGCCGUAGCGAAAGCGAGUCUUAAUAGGGCGAACAAGUCAGAUGCUGCAGACCCGAAGCUAAGUGAUCUAUCCAUGGCCAAGUUGAAACGCGUGUAAUAGCGCGUGGAGGACUGAACUCGUACCCAUUGAAACGGGUUGGGAUGAGCUGUGGAUAGGGGUGAAAGGCCAAACAAACUUAGUGAUAGCUGGUUCUCUUCGAAAUAUAUUUAGGUAUAGCCUCAAGUGAUAAUAAAAGGGGGUAGAGCCCUGAUUGGGCUAGGGCUGCUCGCCGCGGUACCAAACCCUAUCAAACUUCGAAUACCUUUUAUCGUAUCUUGGGAGUCAGGCGGUGGGUGAUAAAAUCAAUCGUCAAAAGGGGAACAACCCAGACUACCAAAUAAGGUCCCUAAGUUCUAUUCUGAGUGGAAAAAGAUGUGUGGCUACUCAAACAACCAGGAGGUUGGCUUAGAAGCAGCCAUCCUUUAAAGAAAGCGUAACAGCUCACUGGUCUAGUGGUCAUGCGCUGAAAAUAUAACGGGGCUAAGAUAGACACCGAAUUUGUAGAUUGUGUUAAACACAGUGGUAGAAGAGCGUUCAUACCAGCGUUGAAGGUAUACCGGUAAGGAGUGCUGGAGCGGUAUGAAGUGAGCAUGCAGGAAUGAGUAACGAUAAGAUAUAUGAGAAUUGUAUCCGCCGUAAAUCUAAGGUUUCCUACGCGAUGGUCGUCAUCGUAGGGUUAGUCGGGUCCUAAGCCGAGUCCGAAAGGGGUAGGUGAUGGCAAAUUGGUUAAUAUUCCAAUACCGACUAUGGAGCGUGAUGGGGGGACGCAUAGGGUUAAGCGAGCUAGCUGAUGGAAGCGCUAGUCUAAGGGCGUAGAUUGGAGGGAAGGCAAAUCCACCUCUGUAUUUGAAACCCAAACAGGCUCUUUGAGUCCUUUUAGGACAAAGGGAGAAUCGCUGAUACCGUCGUGCCAAGAAAAGCCUCUAAGCAUAUCCAUAGUCGUCCGUACCGCAAACCGACACAGGUAGAUGAGAUGAGUAUUCUAAGGCGCGUGAAAGAACUCUGGUUAAGGAACUCUGCAAACUAGCACCGUAAGUUCGCGAUAAGGUGUGCCACAGCAAUGUGGUCUCAGCAAAGAGUCCCUCCCGACUGUUUACCAAAAACACAGCACUUUGCCAACUCGUAAGAGGAAGUAUAAGGUGUGACGCCUGCCCGGUGCUCGAAGGUUAAGAGGAUGCGUCAGUCGCAAGAUGAAGCGUUGAAUUGAAGCCCGAGUAAACGGCGGCCGUAACUAUAACGGUCCUAAGGUAGCGAAAUUCCUUGUCGGUUAAAUACCGACCUGCAUGAAUGGCGUAACGAGAUGGGAGCUGUCUCAACCAGAGAUUCAGUGAAAUUGUAGUGGAGGUGAAAAUUCCUCCUACCCGCGGCAAGACGGAAAGACCCCGUGGACCUUUACUACAACUUAGCACUGCUAAUGGGAAUAUCAUGCGCAGGAUAGGUGGGAGGCUUUGAAGUAAGGGCUUUGGCUCUUAUGGAGCCAUCCUUGAGAUACCACCCUUGAUGUUUCUGUUAGCUAACUGGCCUGUGUUAUCCACAGGCAGGACAAUGCUUGGUGGGUAGUUUGACUGGGGCGGUCGCCUCCUAAAAAGUAACGGAGGCUUGCAAAGGUUGGCUCAUUGCGGUUGGAAAUCGCAAGUUGAGUGUAAUGGCACAAGCCAGCCUGACUGUAAGACAUACAAGUCAAGCAGAGACGAAAGUCGGUCAUAGUGAUCCGGUGGUUCUGUGUGGAAGGGCCAUCGCUCAAAGGAUAAAAGGUACCCCGGGGAUAACAGGCUGAUCUCCCCCAAGAGCUCACAUCGACGGGGAGGUUUGGCACCUCGAUGUCGGCUCAUCGCAUCCUGGGGCUGGAGCAGGUCCCAAGGGUAUGGCUGUUCGCCAUUUAAAGCGGUACGCGAGCUGGGUUCAGAACGUCGUGAGACAGUUCGGUCCCUAUCUGCCGUGGGCGUAGGAAAGUUGAGGAGAGCUGUCCCUAGUACGAGAGGACCGGGAUGGACGUGUCACUGGUGCACCAGUUGUUCUGCCAAGAGCAUCGCUGGGUAGCUACACACGGAUGUGAUAACUGCUGAAAGCAUCUAAGCAGGAAGCCAACUCCAAGAUAAACUUUCCCUGAAGCUCGCACAAAGACUAUGUGCUUGAUAGGGUAGAUGUGUAAGCGCAGUAAUGCGUUUAGCUGACUACUACUAAUAGAGCGUUUGGCUUGUUUUU